GAUACGUAACGAUGCACCGCAGCUUCAUCGGAGGAUCUGCAGCACCGUCAGGCACUCUCAGACUUCACAUCAGCCCAGCUGUCAGGCCUAGCCUGGAUGGGGAAACUGAGUCAUCGAGCCAGAUGUGAUCUACAGGACCUGCAGCUUCGGGGACGUUGUGUAACCGUCACCGCAGCAACGUCAGGGGACCGAGUUACGCUGCCGCCACAUCUGCAGUGUGAACGCAAUCACCCCGUUUCCAAAUCACCCGCAACCAGGUCCCGGCUUCGCCGCGACUUCCCAGCACGGCGAGGUCCUGACUGUGCCGCUGGGCUGUUUUGCAAACGCCCGUCAGCGGGACAGCGCCUCUGCUCAGCUCCCACGUUUUCUCGCCCGAAUGACCCGACCCACGGCAGCCGCGGCGGUGCCGAGCAGCGGGCCAGCUCGGGAAAGUGCGGUCCCACGGGCUGCUGCAGGCAGCGGAGCUCCCGCUCCUUCUGGGCCCCCUUUCCCUUCGCAGGGAAGGAAGGAAGAAGCAUUGUAACCCCGUUCGGCAGCUUGAAACAAUCGCGUCGCGCGGAGCCAAUUUAGAAAAAAAGAAAAAGGUGCCCGGCGUGCGCGGCGCUGAGCAAGUGCCCGCGUGAACGCCGCCGCCAGCCGAGCGGAGCCCUCUCGCCCCCCACUUCCCCGCGGGGGGGGGCACGUCCGAGCGCGUGGCUUUCGGUGUGUGUGUUUUCAGCCAAAUUAUCAGAACUUUUCCAUUUGAUUGCACGGCGACGUAAAGACUUGUUGUCAGCACUGGAAAGUUGGCAGUCGUUAGCAGCCCCUGCACUAUCAGGUUUUAACCUCACUAUUGUACAAGGCUCGGGGAUAAGCGGCCCUGAAAGCCGUAGCCCUGACGUUGCAGCGCAGGAGGCCCCGGACUUUCUCCCCGCGGAGGGGCCGGGUGGGCGCCCGCGUCCCGCCCUGCGCAGGCCACGCGGGGCCGGGGCCGGGGCCAGCACGCGGCGAGGGGAAAGGCUCCCACGCGGGAGCGACCGCAGGCCGCCUCCCUCCGCUCGCAGUGCGAUGGCGCCCGGCUCUGACCUCCAGCCUCUUCCAGGGGUCCCAGGGCAAAGCGAGUCGCCUCAGAGCAGCGACUCUGAGCAGAGCCAGGCGCCCCCCUGCCGCCCCCCCACGUGGGUUCUCUGAUGUCUGCUAGGGGCUGAGCUCAGCGGCCUCGCACUACUGGGCGCUCGCUCUUCCAUCCAGCUGCCUCUUGCUGUGCAAUUCAGCGGCACUUUGCACCUCGCCUCGCUGCCAAACCUGGCUGCAACUGCCCGACACGUCUAGAGAUUACCGGCAGGGACAGGCGGGCGGGCAGGCGACAGAAGACGCACAGCCAGCAGUAACCCAGCUGGGGCGCCCAGGGGGUUUUCCCAGAAGCAAACGUUUUGGCAGCGGAAAGCAAGGGAGACCAGAGCUGCAAAGGGAGAAAAGUAAAACCAAAUAAAACAGAAGAACACGUGCGACUCCGCUGCGUGCAGACUAAACCUCACUGAUAAGCGCUUGCAGGCCACAGCCAGCUUUAUCUGGUGCAUUUCGGAUGUUUA